UACGAAGGGGGCUAGCGUUGCUCGGAAUUACUGGGCGUAAAGGGCGCGUAGGCGGAUAGUUUAGUCAGAGGUGAAAGCCCAGGGCGCAACCUUGGAAUUGCCUUUGAUACUGGCUAUCUUGAGUUCGGGAGAGGGAUGCGGAAUUCCAGGUGUAGCGGUGAAAUGCGUAGAUAUCUGGAGGAACACCGGUGGCGAAGGCGGCAUCCUGGACCGACACUGACGCUGAGGAGCGAAAGCCAGGGGAGCAAACGGG
rnacentral:rRNA from 1 species